rnacentral:ribozyme from 1 species
CGGUGGCAUGGAGGAUGAUGAAGGUGAUGAAGGCCCGGAGCUCAUGGAUCCCGAGGCAGCCAAACGCCUGCCUAAAGAGAUUGAAGAGAAGGAGAAGCAGAUAGCCACCGCCUCCGAGAACCUGCAGGAUU